AUUGAACGCUGGCGGCAGGCCUAACACAUGCAAGUCGAGCGAGCGGCGGACGGGUGUGUAAUGUCUGGGAAACUGCCUGAUGGAGGGGGAUAACUACUGGAAACGGUAGCUAAUACCGCAUACCAUCAGAUGUGCCCAGAUGGGAUUAGCUAGUAGGUGGGGUAACGGCUCACCUAGGCGACGAUCACUAGCUGGUCUGAGAGGAGGACCAGCCAGACUGGAACUGAGACACGGUCCAGACUCCUACGGGAGGCAGCAGUGGGGAAUAUUGCACAAGGGGCGCAAGCCGGAUGCAGCCAUGACGCGUGUGUGAAGAAGGCCUUCGGGUUGUAAAGCACUGUCAGCGGGGAGGCGUUACCCGCAGAAGAAGCACCGGCUAACUCCGUGCCAGCCGCCGCGGUAAUUC
rnacentral:rRNA from 1 species